rnacentral:rRNA from 1 species
UACGUAGGUGGCAAGCGUUGUCUGGAAUCACUGGGCGUAAAGCGCGCGCAGGCGGCGAUCUACGUCUGGGGUGAAAGCCCCGGAGCUCAACUCCGGGACUGCCUUGGAUACGGGAUCGCUUGAGGAUUGGAGAGGCAAGGGGAAUUCCACGUGUAGCGGUGAAAUGCGUAGAUAUGUGGAGGAACACCUGUGGCGAAGGCGCCUUGCUGGCCAAUUUCUGACGCUGAGGCGCGAAAGCGUGGGGAGCAAACAGG